rnacentral:lncRNA from 1 species
CUAACGGUCUAUUUCAAGGUGACGUCACUUACUAUAAAUAGCUGCCGUCGCCGCCGCCCCUCCCGGAAGCCGCGCAGGCGCCCAGUUCCCGCUGCGUUUUACCGCCGCAGAGGGUGGCUCCGUGAUACGAAGACCUUGACACUCGCAGCUGCAUCCCUAGAGCCUAGCGCUGUGUUUGACCUACAGCAGAGACUCAGUGAAUACUUCCCAAAAGACUGAACGCAUCAUUGCCAGCAUCAGGAUGCCAUCCGGGGCCCAGAGGGAGCCAGGAGGAUCAGAGAAAAGCUUUUGGACUCUUGCCAUGCCUUACAUUAGCAGCAUCUUCUCCAGGCCCCGACAGCCAGC